AUUGAACGCUGGCGGCAUGCUUUACACAUGCAAGUCGAACGGCAGCUCGGGCUUCGGCCUGGCGGCGAGUGGCGAACGGGUGGGUAAUACAUCGGAACGUGCCCAGUAGGGGGGGAUAGCUCGGCGAAAGCCGGAUUAAUACCGCACACCACCUGAGGGUGAAAGAGGGGGAUCUUCGGACCUCGCGCUAUUGGAGCGGCCGAUGGCAGAUUAGCGAGUUGGUGGGGUAAAGGCCUACCAAGGCGACGAUCGUUAGCUGGUCUGAGAGGACGACUAGCCACACUGGGACUGAGACACGGCCCAGACUCCUGCGGGAGGAAGCAGUGGGGAAUUUUGGGCAAGGGACGAAAGGCUGAUCCAGCAAUGCCGCGUGUGUGCUGAAGGCCUUCGGGUUGUAAAGCACUUUUGGCGGGAACGAAAAGGACUGUGCCAAUACCACGGUUCGAUGACGGUACCCGCAGAAUAAGCACCGGCUAACUACGUG
rnacentral:rRNA from 1 species